rnacentral:rRNA from 1 species
UACGGGAGGCAGCAGUGGGGAAUAUUGGACAAUGGGCGGAAGCCUGAUCCAGCAAUGCCGCGUGUGUGAAGAAGGCCCGAGGGUCGUAAAGCACUUUUGUUAGGGAGGAAGGAGUAUGUAUUAAUACUACAUACAACUGACGUUACCUAAAGAAUAAGCACCGGCUAACUCUGUGCCAGCAGCCGCGGUAAU